GCUGAAGCAACAAAUGCCCUGCUUCCAGGAAAAGCCUCUAAGCAUCAGGUAACAUCAAAUCGUACCCCAAACCGACACAGGUGGUCAGGUAGAGAAUACCAAGGCGCUUGAGAGAACUCGGGUGAAGGAACUAGGCAAAAUGGUGCCGUAACUUCGGGAGAAGGCACGCUGAUAUGUAGGUGAAGUCCCUCGCGGAUGGAGCUGAAAUCAGUCGAAGAUACCAGCUGGCUGCAACUGUUUAUUAAAAACACAGCACUGUGCAAACACGAAAGUGGACGUAUACGGUGUGACGCCUGCCCGGUGCCGGAAGGUUAAUUGAUGGGGUUAGCGCAAGCGAAGCUCUUGAUCGAAGCCCCGGUAAACGGCGGCCGUAACUAUAACGGUCCUAAGGUAGCGAAAUUCCUUGUCGGGUAAGUUCCGACCUGCACGAAUGGCGUAAUGAUGGCCAGGCUGUCUCCACCCGAGACUCAGUGAAAUUGAACUCGCUGUGAAGAUGCAGUGUACCCGCGGCAAGACGGAAAGACCCCGUGAACCUUUACUAUAGCUUGACACUGAACAUUGAGCCUUGAUGUGUAGGAUAGGUGGGAGGCUUUGAAGUGUGGACGCCAGUCUGCAUGGAGCCGACCUUGAAAUACCACCCUUUAAUGUUUGAUGUUCUAACGUUGACCCGUAAUCCGGGUUGCGGACAGUGUCUGGUGGGUAGUUUGACUGGGGCGGUCUCCUCCUAAAGAGUAACGGAGGAGCACGAAGGUUGGCUAAUCCUGGUCGGACAUCAGGAGGUUAGUGCAAUGGCAUAAGCCAGCUUGACUGCGAGCGUGACGGCGCGAGCAGGUGCGAAAGCAGGUCAUAGUGAUCCGGUGGUUCUGAAUGGAAGGGCCAUCGCUCAACGGAUAAAAGGUACUCCGGGGAUAACAGGCUGAUACCGCCCAAGAGUUCAUAUCGACGGCGGUGUUUGGCACCUCGAUGUCGGCUCAUCACAUCCUGGGGCUGAAGUAGGUCCCAAGGGUAUGGCUGUUCGCCAUUUAAAGUGGUACGCGAGCUGGGUUUAGAACGUCGUGAGACAGUUCGGUCCCUAUCUGCCGUGGGCGCUGGAGAACUGAGGGGGGCUGCUCCUAGUACGAGAGGACCGGAGUGGACGCAUCACUGGUGUUCGGGUUGUCAUGCCAAUGGCACUGCCCGGUAGCUAAAUGCGGAAGAGAUAAGUGCUGAAAGCAUCUAAGCACGAAACUUGCC
rnacentral:rRNA from 1 species